rnacentral:rRNA from 1 species
CGGUGUUUAACUGGUGUGAUGUGGGACGUCCUACCGGUGGGCUUAGCCUCGCGAGGGGCGGCCCAACUAAUAUCCCGUCGCGGUGCUCUUUACUGAGUGUCGAGUCGGGCCGGUACGUUUACUUUGAACAAAUUAGAGUGCUUAAAGCAGGCUAUCCUCGCCUGAAUACUGCGUGCAUGGAAUAAUGGAAUAGGACCUCGGUUCUAUUUUGUUGGUUUUCGGAACCCCCGGGGUAAUGAUUAAUAGGGACAGAUGGGGGCAUUCGUAUUGCGACGUUAGAGGUGAAAUUCUUGGAUCGUCGCAAGACGGACAGAAGCGAAAGCAUUUGCCAAAAAUGUUUUCAUUAAUCAAGAACGAAAGUUAGAGGUUCGAAGGCGAUCAGAUACCGCCCUAGUUCUAACCAUAAACGAUGCCAGCUAGCGAUCCGCCGAAGUUCCUCCGAUGACUCGGCGGGCAGCUUCCGGGAAACCAAAGCUUUUGGGUUCCGGGGGAAGUAUGGUUGCAAAGCUGAAACUUAAAGGAAUUGACGGAAGGGCACCACCAGGAGUGGAGCCUGCGGCUUAAUUUGACUCAACACGGGAAACCUCACCAGGCCCAGACACCGGAAGGAUUGACAGAUUGAUAGCUCUUUCUUGAUUCGGUGGGUGGUGGUGCAUGGCCGUUCUUAGUUGGUGGAGCGAUUUGUCUGGUCAAUUCCGAUAACGAACGAGACUCUAGCCUGCUAAAUAGGCGUACCUUAUGGUAUCGCGAAGGCCCCCGGCUUCGGCCGGUGGGUUUUUACUACCAACGUACAAACAAAUCUUCUUAGAGGGACAGGCGG